rnacentral:lncRNA from 1 species
UCUAUCAAUGAUUUGAGAUGAGGAAGAAGACAUCAACCAAGUAAUUAAGCUCAAUUCCAAGUAUUGAAAAAAAUCAUCAAAAUAAAUUAAAAUUCAAUUAAUAAUGAUGUAGUAUUUAUUAAAUAAAGAAAAUAAAAUGAAAUUUGUUAAAGAGGGGUCAAAGUAUCAAACAAAUGUCCAACAAAAAUAGGGGAGGUCAACAAAAAUAUGAGAAGUUUGAC